rnacentral:rRNA from 1 species
UACAGAGGUGCCGAGCGUUAGGCGGAAUCACUGGGCUUAAAGCGUGUGUAGGCGGCUGCCUAAGUACCUUGUGAAAUCCCACAGCUCAACUGUGGAACUGCUUGGUAUACUGGGUGUCUUGAGCCACUUAGGGGCUACCGGAACAAAUGGUGGAGCGGUGAAAUGCGUAGAUAUCAUUUGGAACGCCAAUGGUGAAAACAGGUAGCUGGGAGUGUGCUGACGCUGAGACCCGAAAGCCAGGGGAGCAAACGGG